rnacentral:rRNA from 1 species
GACAGAGGCCUCAAGCGUUAGGCGGAAUCACUGGGCUUAAAGCGUGUGUAGGCGGACUUUUAAGUGCCUUGUGAAAUCCCACGGCUUAACCGUGGAAUGGCUGGGCAUACUGGGAGCCUUGAGCUAUCUAGGGGCGACUGGAACAAACGGUGGAGCGGUGAAAUGCGUAGAUAUCGUUUGGAACGCCAAUGGUGAAAACAGGUCGCUGGGGAUACGCUGACGCUGAGACACGAAAGCCAGGGGAGCAAACGGG